rnacentral:rRNA from 1 species
AACGAACGCUGGCGGCAGGCUUAACACAUGCAAGUCGAACGGGCCCUUCGGGGUCAGUGGCAGACGGGUGAGUAACGCGUGGGAACGUGCCCUUCAGUUUGGAAUAACCCAGGGAAACUUGGGCUAAUACCGGAUACGCCCUUCGAGGGAAAGAUUUAUCGCUGAAGGAUCGGCCCGCGUCUGAUUAGCUGGUUGGUGAGGUAAUGGCUCACCAAGGCGACGAUCAGUAGCUGGUCUGAGAGGAUGAUCAGCCACAUUGGGACUGAGACACGGCCCAAACUCCUACGGGAGGCAGCAGUGGGGAAUAUUGGACAAUGGGCGCAAGCCUGAUCCAGCCAUGCCGCGUGAGUGAUGACGGCCUUAGGGUUGUAAAGCUCUUUCGCACGCGACGAUAAUGACGGUAGCGUGAGAAGAAGCCCCGGCUAACUUCGUGCCAGCCGCCGCAGUAAUAC